CUUCUUCAACUUGCUGAGGGCAAAUAAAAUGAAUGUGCGCAUCAAUGCCACCCGCCGUCAGAAUUUGUCCUUCGCCUGCAAUGAUUUCAGUGCCGGGCCCAAUUUCGAUUGUGACCCCUGCUUGCGUAUCAGGAUUACCGGCUUUACCAAUGGCUUGAAUACGACCAUUGUUUAACGCAACGUCGGCUUUAAUAAUGCCCGUGGCAUCUAAAAUAAGUGCAUUGGUAAUUACCGUGUCUGGCACUUUGUCGGAGGUAGACUGACUCUGCCCCAUACCAUCCCGAAU
rnacentral:sRNA from 1 species